rnacentral:lncRNA from 1 species
CCACAUUGAUGCACCUGAACCAGACAGCAGUGCUAAAUGGUCUUCAAAUCUGGUGAAGCCAUCAUCUUUUUUUGGUCCUCCACCUGCCUCUUCUCCGCUGAUGCCUCCCAUUUCUUCAUCGGUGCCCACUGCUCCUCCACUUCUUCCACUUGGGAAUCUCCAGCGCCCUUAUGGAGCUCCUUUGCUUCAACCAUUUCCUCCGCCCACUCCUCCUCCAUCUCUCACGCCUACUUCUUCUCCUAUCCCAAACUAUGGACCUGUUGUUAGCAGAGACAAAGUGCGUGAAGCAC